rnacentral:rRNA from 1 species
GAAUAUGGGGGGACCAUCCUCCAAGGCUAAAUACUCCUGACUGACCGAUAGUGAACCAGUACCGUGAGGGAAAGGCGAAAAGAACCCCGGCGAGGGGAGUGAAAAAGAACCUGAAACCGUGUACGUACAAGCAGUGGGAGCCCCACCACUAAGCCAGUGGUGAACUCCACAUACGCAUCCUUUGCUGAGGAUACGGUUAACGGAGCGAAAGCGACGUUCAACCUCAAAAGAAGCAGAGGGGGCUUAGUGGUGGGGUGACUGCGUACCUUUUGUAUAAUGGGUCAGCGACUUAUAUUCUGUAGCAAGGUUAACCGMAUAGGGGAGCCGGAGGGAAACCGAGUCUUAAUUGGGCGUUAAGUUGCAGGGUAUAGACCCGAAACCCGGUGAUCUAGCCAUGGGCAGGUUGAAGGUUGGGUAACACUAACUGGAGGACCGAACCGACUAAUGUUGAAAAAUUAGCGGAUGACCUGUGGCUGGGGGUGAAAGGCCAAUCAAACCGGGAGAUAGCUGGUUCUCCCCGAAAGCUAUUUAGGUAGCGCCUCGUGAAYUCAUCUCCGGGGUAGAGCACUGUUUCGGCUAGGGGGCCAUC